GAUCCGAACCGUGAGGGGUGAUCCGAACCGUGAGGGGUGAUCCGAACGGAUCACGGAUCGACCCGUGAGCCGUUACACCACUACUGUGCAGUAACAGCACCGGUUGUGAAACACUUAUGUAACGUGACAUUCAUGUUGAGCCUGAGGAGGACUGACUCGUUUCUCUGACAUCAUGAUGACAUUGUUCUAUGUCAUUAGAAUAAAGAUGAAUAAUAAAGUAGCCUCUCUCUGAUUGGGUGUUUCCUGUCCGCUCUCUCAGACGUCCCUGUGUGGUCUAAGCUUCAGUCGGGUUACGUCCCAAACAUCCAGGAGAUCUUCCAGAUCCUCGACAACCAUUUGAAGAUGAACCAGGUGGAUCCCAUGAGCUUCUCUUCCUCUUAGGGCUGCACAGCUGUGCUGCGUUCAGGUGUCCCGGCUCAGUGGUACGUUCAGCCGCUGGCGUUCAUGAAGGUCCGGCCUUAAAGCAGACUCUGCGGGGCCCGGCUGGAUGUCCCCCGCCUCAAAAUGAGCGUUCUCUCUGCGCCGGGUCACAACUCGGCACUACAGUACCCAUAAUGCACCUGUCGGCACAGGUGGAGUCAGCUGUACUCACAGACUGAGGACUCCACUGGUUUAUGUUGGUACAGUUUGAUUUAAUUUAUUUAGUUUGAGAAUAAAACUACGGUACCACGGAUAGCUUCAUGCUAGUUAGCCUCCGUCUGGACCAGAAGUAAACAGAAAUGUGAAGAAUCAUUAAAAUCUGGUUUAUGUAACAAACAUCUUCACUGUCAGUUAUUUUUUUAAUGUCUAAAAUGUGUGAAACAAGAAUAAAACUAACCACAAGUUUGUUUCUGACUUUAAAUUCACAUGAACUUUUA